rnacentral:lncRNA from 1 species
CCUAUUUCGUUAUAAAAAUAAAAGGUGCAAGCAGAAGAUAGAACGAGCGACUUAAUAAGUGCUUUGUAUGAUAAGAACCACCUAAGAAACGAAAGGGGAGACAAUAGUAAAAGAAGAAAUAGUUGCAUAGAGUAAAAGACUCAGCCAGUGGGAAAGACCACUCCCACGGUUUUCUAUUGGUAGAGAAGAUCCCAGCCAAAUAGCUGCAUAAAGUAACUGAAUAAAGAACCAAUGCGACAUUGUUUGUUGGUAGAAGAUCAGGUUAAUAGUGCGGGUUCUUACUUGGGACCCUAAUAGACAUUAGUCUGUCGAAAACUUAGGUAAUACAUGGAGGAACUACAACUCAAAUCACUUGAUCACCAGAGUUGGCGCCACCAAUUGGCUUCGGAUGUUUAGAUUGUUUGGAAUGAACCUCCCUUUGAUGAUAUCUGCUGAAUAAUAUGCAAGGAAUAUUUCUCUUUUACAUACAUACAUACAUAUAUACAUACAUACGUAUAUACAUGUAUAUAUAUAUAUAUAUAUAAACUUAAAAAGUUAAAACUUCUUGUAUCCAUUGGGGAUCUGGACCACGUCUUCUGGCCACUCGUAUUAAAAUGUUAGAUCGUACCUUUUCUUAACCAACAAGAUAAUUUCCCUUUUUGUACUAAACCGCUAAUGAAGUCUUAUUUCUUCUUUGGUAAUUACAGGUUCACGCGUCAAAGUCAUUGCAGGUAAUGCUGCAAAGAAAACUAAUGAUCCUUACAUUCUCUGAUCCCAUCAACAAGUGGUGGUUUUCUAUCCUGAUUUCUCAUUCUCUGGUUUCUGCUUGUCAGCCACAUCAUCGACAGCAGCAUUAGUUGUUAUUUUGUUGAUGGUGGCCACUGCACUCUAUCUUUCACUUAAGUCAAGAUAUAAUGAAGAAAUACACUUGAAGGUUCAAAUGUUUCUCAACAAAACCCACAAGGUACACUUUCGCUGAAGUUAAGAAGAUAGCAAGGCUGUUUAAGGAAAAGGUAGGCCAAGGGGGAUUUGGAAGUGUAUACAAAGGCGAGCUACCAAGUGGAGUGCCUGUGGCCGUCAAAAUGCUAGAGAACUCUACAGGAGAGGGAGAUGAAUUCAUCAAUGAAGUUGCAACCAUAGGACUAAUCCACCAUGCAAAUUUUGUGCGCCUCUUGGGAUUUUGCUCUCAAGGAACAAGACGUGCCCUUAUUUAUGAAUUCAUGCCUAACGAGUCAUUGGAGAAAUAUAUAUUCUUGCAUGCUUCUGGAGCAUCUCAACAACUCCUAGUACCAAACAAGCGCAUUGCAAAAAGCGCAUCCUCCACUUUGACAUCAAGCCUCACAACAUCUUGCUGUACUACAAGUUCAACCCAAAGAUCUCAGACUUCGGCCUUGCAAAACUUUGUGCGAGGGAUCAAAGCAUUGUUACCUUGACAACAGCAAGAGGUACUAUGGGCUAUAUUGCACCAGAGUUGUAUUCUCGGAAUUUUGGAGAAGUAUCCUACAAGUCAGAUGUUUACAGUUUUGGCAUGCUGGUGUUAGAAAUGGUAAGUGGGAGGAGGAACUCAGAUCCAGGUGUUGCCAGCCAAAAUGAAGUUUACCUCCCAGAGUGGAUCUUCGAGAAGGUAAUCACGUGGCAUGACUUGGUGCUUGCUCGAGAAAUGACAGGAGAAGAGAGAGAAAAGAUCAGACAGCUAGCCAUUGUGGCUCUGUGGUGCAUUCAAUGGAACCCAAGAAAUCGACCCUCGAUGACAAAGGUGGUGAACAUGUUGACAGGGAGGUUGGAGAACCUACAGAUGCCCCCAAAGCCUUUCAUCUCAUCUGAAAGUCAUCCUGUGCCAUAGAGCAUGGAGAAUACUAUGCCACAUGAUUUAAUGAAUAUUUGAGAGAGAGAUAAACUUAGUUCCUCCUGUGUUGCAUAGUAAUGCAUAGUACUAUAGCAUGUGAUGGUUGUUCAGUCUUUUGACGGGUAUUAGCACAUGACAUAUGAAUAGUAAGAUGUCACCAUGUAAUACUAUUUAUUUGCAAUAUAUCAGAUUUGCAGUUGAUGUAUUCAGUAAUCCGAAGGCAAUAUUUUAAAUUUUCAUAUUCUGUAAUACCAAGUAUGUUCUUCCUCACUGAAUUUCCAGGAAAGAGCAAAUGUGUUCUGUUUUCAAUCAACCAAUAAUUAGUGUUAGAUGGAGAACUCACUGUCAAGAGCAUUCGCAUGUGGUAGAUCAUGCCAUCUCUAUUCCCAGGUGCUACAGGUUUUACAAUGUGAAUGGAUGCGUAAGCAUGGGGUCUGAGACUCUGACCACUAUUCCUACUCGAGAUUUUGCAGAACAAAAAACAAAAGGAAAUCAAGUCGAAGGGCUUACCUUUGCCAGUGCCAAGGAGAAGGCAGAUCUAGGUUGCAUCGAGCUGCCGUGGGUCGGCACUACGGCAGGCCCCCUUGCAAGAGCAGAGAGGCCGGCGACGACGAGAAACAGCAUCGGUGUAGAAUGGUAAAGUAGGGGGAAUCGACAGCGGCGCACUAGGAGAGACGUGACGCUUCCUCCCCGGCGCGUGAUUAGUUACAAGGGAUCGCCGCCCAGUGGCGGCCGCGGCCGCGGCCGGAGCACCGGCGGUGGGAAGAGGCAUCUGUGAUUCGCCGUUUCUAAUAAAAUUGGGCUGGGUUUCGUACUUUUGCGGUGUGUUGGGCUUGAUGGACCAGCCCACUGAAAAUCUCGGAGGUAGGCCCAAGUGUUACCGCCGGAAGCCUGGCCGUAACAGAUAAGGAAUCCUGCUUCUGCAUUUGC